GACGGAGGGUGCUAGCGUUGUUCGGAAUCACUGGGCGUAAAGGGCGCGUAGGCGGCCUUGCAAGUCGGUUGGUGAAAGCCCGGGGCUCAACCCCGGAGGUGCGGCCGAGACUGCAGGGCUGGAGGCCGGAAGAGGAGGGUGGAAUACCCAGUGUAGAGGUGAAAUGCGCAGAUAUCGGGAAGAACACCCGUGGCGAAGGCGGCUCUCUGGGACGGUACUGACGCUGAGACGCGAAAGCGUGGGGAGCGAACAGG
rnacentral:rRNA from 1 species